rnacentral:rRNA from 1 species
ACAGGGAUUGCCUCAGUAACGGCGAGUGAAGCGGCAACAGCUCAAAUUUGAAAUCUGGCUCCCUUUCGGGGUCCGAGUUGUACUUUGUAGAGGGUGCUUUGGCGUUUGGUAGCGGUCUAAGUUCUUUGGGACAAGACGUCACGGAGGGUGAGAAUCCCGUAUGUGGCCGCGUAACCUCGCCAUGUAAAGCCCCUUCGACGAGUCGAGUUGUUUGGGAAUGCAGCUCUAAAUGGGAGGUAAAUUUCUUCUAAAGCUAAAUACUGGCCAGAGACCGAUAGCGCACAAGUAGAGUGAUCGAAAGAUGAAAAGCACUUUGGAAAGAGAGUCAAAAAGCACGUGAAAUUGUUGAAAGGGAAGCGCUCACAGCCAGACGUGCUCGUGGCUGCUCAUCCGGACACGUGUCCGGUGCACUCUCCCACGAGCAGGCCAGCAUCGGUUUGGGCGGUUGGACAAAGGCGCCGGGAAUGUAGCUCCCUCCGGGGAGCGUUAUAGCCCGGCGCGCAAUGCAGCCAGCCCAGAUCGAGGCCCGCGCGCAUGCUAGGAUGCUGGCGUAAUGGCUGUGAGCGGCCCGUCUUGAAACACGGACCAAGGAGUCUAACAUCCAUGCGAGUGUUUGGGUGUCAAAUCCCAGGCGCGCAAUGAAAGUGAACGGAGGUGGGAACCCUCUUCGAGGGCGCACCAUCGACCGAUCCUGAUGUCUUCGGAUGGAUUUGAGUAAGAGCAUGGCUGUUGGGACCCGAAAGAUGGUGAACUAUGCCUGAAUAGGGCGAAGCCAGAGGAAACUCUGGUGGAGGCUCGCAGCGGUUCUGACGUGCAAAUCGAUCGUCGAAUUUGGGCAUAGGGGCGAAAGACUAAUCGAA